AGGUAAUAAUAACUCUUUGGUGUGUGCGUGAGAGAGAGGCAAGAAGCAAGAGACAAAAGACGGGGAACAGGCAGAGCAUGGAUGGAACCAUUAACAGGUUCUCUGUUUUGGCUCCUCCCAUGCACUGCCUCUUCCCUGGCUCUCUGCCUUCCU
rnacentral:pre_miRNA from 1 species